UGGGCGUGUCUGAGAUGGAAAAUUGAAGGAAGACGAUUAGCAAAUCCUUUUUUCCGAUGACAAUCAUUCUAUUCAACGGACAAUAAAAGGAUAGAGAGAGCGUGAAACUUACAAACGAAGUAACGUCUUCCAGGAAAUCGAUCCUAGCUGCAGAAACCAAAAGCAGAAAGCAUAAAAAUGAGCGAUAAGAACAGAAAGUGACAUGCGAAACGAAGAAAGAGAGAGAGAGAAUGGGAAACUGACUGGAAGAAGGAGCGAAGGCGGCGAAUCUAUCAGUGUAGAGAGCAAUCGGAGCAAUCACAGUGACGAAUAGCAUCACCACCACCACGUUCCUCAGAAUCA
rnacentral:lncRNA from 1 species